GUGCUCGCUUUGGCAGCACAUACACUAAAAUUGGAAUGAUACAGAGAAGAUUAGCAUGGCCCCCAUACAAGGUUGACACGCAAAUUUGUGAAGUGUUCCAUAUUUUU
rnacentral:snRNA from 1 species